rnacentral:lncRNA from 1 species
GUCAGCCUCCCUCCUGACCUUUGACCUACCAGGAAGAGGUGAGGCCCUGGACCAGGUGAUGGCAGCCAGAAUGGAGAGGUCUUCACCAAACGUGUAGACAACAGUUUAACACAGCUACAAUCUCCGAGCAAAACAAUGCUGAUUGAGCGGUACUACAGCGGAGCUACUCAAACGCCGCCGGAAGCUCCCGGCACUCCCAGAGAGCAGACAAAUGAGUACUCGGGCUGGAUUUGGUAGCCCUGAGGAAUACUUGGAAUACUGGCUUUAGGAGGGACGGUGGAGCAGGUAGGGGAUGCUGCAUAUGCAUGAGUUACAUAGCAUGUAAGUGCACAUGCUCCGCACCCCAGACCUGGCUUCUGUGUUUUCUGGCAGCUGAAGCUGAACUCCUCAUCUCCUCAGGAAGAACGAAGAUCCCAUUGCACGCCAACAUGACUGGAAAUCUCAAUUUAAGAACUGGCUGCACUGGUCGGCCCAUAUAGGGUUUGUCCAGCUUUCUGUGUUCCUUUGCGCCUCUGAUGUGUCAGCUUUUGCACACAUAUUUAACCCUCAAAAUACCGUUUCAGAGAAGCGAAUUUUCAGCCACGAAAACUUGUCUCCCAAACUGCAUCGUCUUUUCCCGUUGUUUCUCUUCCCGAAUCCCUGACCUCUCCACCAGCUUUGGUCAAGCCCAGCACCUCACACACACCUUUUCCAUCACAGCCCAGAGCGCAGCGGCAAGCCCCUCCGCGCCCUGGCGGCCUGCAGCGCUCGGAAGCCGAGAGGAGGCGGGGAGGCGGGGAGGCGCGCCCGCAGCCUUGGACUUCACACCGCGCUCGCGUGUGCACCGAGCCGCGGGCACACGGCGAACACACCUCUCACUGGGACACACGCACACGUGCGCUCGCAGCCCCCACCCGCCCCGGGCCCACCGAAGUUACCUCCGAGGUUCCUCCGGCGGAGGGCCCACCGUCUCCUGCUUCUUUUCCCGCCGUGGUCCGCACUGCCUCCAAUGCCGCGCCUCGCGAAGGCUGCAGAGCCCAGCCGACCCCAGUCCCGGGCAGCUCGGCUUCCGCGCCCUGGGCUGCACCCCGGGUCUGGGGCGGCUGCAGCUUCUGCCGCCCCGGGUCGGGGUCUGUCCUCACCUGCGGGGCGCCCAAUGGGCUGCAGCAGGCGCGGGGGCUGGCGCUCGGCGGCUGAGGCGGGCGCUCGGGCUCCUCCCCGGCAGCGGGCAGCCAGUACAGACUCGCAUGGCGCUUGGGCUCGCAGCGGCCCCAGGACGCGGCCUCAGCCCCCGGGCGGCCCCAGCCUCGGUCUUUGUGUCUCGGCCGGCGCCUCCACGUCACGGGCUUGGGGGCAGUGAGCAGCGCGGGCAGGGAAGCCGGCGGCAGAGAGCCGGGCUCGGCUUCUCCAUCAUCGCCCGGCCGCAGCGCGCAGUCUGGGAAACAGAAGGAGACAGAGGACCAGAUGGGGACUGGGCACCAGACCACAAAGACAGGAGUGAACUCAGCACCCAGAAACCAUCCAGCCUCCACUUUUCGUAUGGUGUCCCCCACAGAUCGACACAUUUCACUUCAUAG